rnacentral:rRNA from 1 species
AACGAACGCUGGCGGCAUGCCUAACACAUGCAAGUCGAACGGGAUCCUAGCUUGCUAGGUGAGAGUGGCGGACGGGUGAGUAACACGUGGGAAUCUGCCUUUUGGUUCGGGAUAACCGCGGGAAACUGCGGCUAAUACCGAAUGCCCUCGUGAGAGGAAAGAUUUAUCGCCAGAAGAGGAGCCCGCGUCCGAUUAGGUAGUUGGUGGGGUAAAGGCCUACCAAGCCGACGAUCGGUAGCUGGUCUGAGAGGAUGAUCAGCCACACUGGGACUGAGAUACGGCCCAGACUCCUACGGAGGCAGCAGUGGGGAAUAUUGGACAAUGGGGGCAACCCUGAUCCAGCCAUGCCGCGUGUGUGAAGAAGGCCUCGGGUUGUAAG